rnacentral:rRNA from 1 species
UAAGUAGGGUGCAGGCGUUAAUCGGAAUUACUGGGCGUAAAGCGUGCGCAGGCGGUUUGUUAAGACAGGUGUGCAAUCCCCCGGCUUAACCUGGGAAUUGCGCUUGUAACUGGCAGACUAGAGUGUGGCAGAGGGGGGUGGAAUUCCAAGUGUAGCAGUGAAAUGCGUAGAUAUUUGGAGGAACACCGAUGGCGAAGGCAGCCCCCUGGGCUAACACUGACGCCCAUGAACGAAAGCGUGGGGAGCAAGCAGG